UACAGAGGUCUCAAGCGUUGUUCGGAUUCAUUGGGCGUAAAGCGCACGUAGGCGGCGAUUCAAGUCAGAGGUGAAAGCCCGGGGCUCAACUCCAGAACUGCCUUUGAUACUGAGGAUCUUGAGUUCGGGAGAGGUGAGUGGAACUGCGAGUGUAGAGGUGAAAUUCGUAGAUAUUCGCAAGAACACCAGUGGCGAAGGCGGCUCACUGGCCCGAUACUGACGCUGAGGCGCGAAAGCGUGGGGAGCAAACAGG
rnacentral:rRNA from 1 species